UACGUAGGGUGCGAGCGUUGUCCGGAAUUACUGGGCGUAAAGAGCUCGUAGGUGGUUUGUCGCGUUGUUCGUGAAAACUCACAGCUUAACUGUGGGCGUGCGGGCGAUACGGGCAGACUGGAGUACUGCAGGGGAGACUGGAAUUCCUGGUGUAGCGGUGGAAUGCGCAGAUAUCAGGAGGAACACCGGUGGCGAAGGCGGGUCUCUGGGCAUCUCCUGACGCUGAGGCGCGAAAGCGUGGGGAGCAAACGGG
rnacentral:rRNA from 1 species